UACGGGGGGGGCAAGCGUUGUUCGGAAUUACUGGGCGUAAAGGGCGCGUAGGCGGCCUGCUAAGUCGGAUGUGAAAUCCCUCGGCUCAACCGAGGAACUGCAUCCGAUACUGGCGGGCUUGAAUCCGGGAGAGGGAUGUGGAAUUCCAGGUGUAGCGGUGAAAUGCGCAGAUAUCAGGAGGAACACCGGUGGCGAAGGCGGUUCUCUGGGCAUGUCCUGACGCUGAGGGGCGAAAGUGUGGGGAGCGAACAGG
rnacentral:rRNA from 1 species